ACUGUCAAUUUUGGAAAUUCAUCCUUUGUCUAUGAUGCUCUACAAUUUGUGGAGGGGGAAGAAAUGGAAUUAUGAAGGCAGAGACAGAUAAGGAGCAGAGGUGGCUUUUCCAAACUGGAAGUGCAAUCAUGAUUGAGUGUUAAUGACGUUCUUGAUUUACCAGGAAGAAUCAGAUGCUGAGGCCCUGACAGCGUGCUUGAUCACAGCUGAAGCAUGGUAGGAACAGCAGCGUCAAGGUAACACCUUAAAAGGAAUAAUCUCCAAGCUGACUCUUGCUGCCUCAAAGGGCCAAACUGUGACUUUUGUGACAAGCCCAUGUGAUUUGUAUGUUGGACAUUCAGGGAUAUGGAAUAUGAUGUUGAAAUGAAGUGUUUGUUUUUCUCAUAGAGGUCGUAAGUAAGCAUUCUUAGCCCAGAAUUAUGUUAACGAGGCAGGUGGAUCACCUGAGGUCAGGAGUUUGAGACCAGCAUGGCCAACAUGGCAAAACCCCAUCUCUACUAAAAAUACAAAAAGUAACCAGGCAUAGUGGUGCACACCUGUAGUCCCAGCUACUCGGGAGGCUAAGGCAGGAGAAUCACUGGAACCGAGGAGGUGGAGGUUGCAGUGAGCCAUGAUCACACCAGUGCCCUUCAGCCUGGGUGACAGAGUGAGACUCCAUCUCAAAAAAAAAAAAAAGUCUGUUCAUUGGAAAACACUACAGGACACAAAUGAGAUGUUACAACAGACUAGUGACCCCCAAAUUGUUCUCUCCGUGUGAGUGUCUCAGGUUUAUAAUGAAUUCUUCUGAUUUUAAAUUUAAUAAUAGAUAUUGUUCAUUUAGC